rnacentral:rRNA from 1 species
GACAGAGGGUGCUAGCGUUGUUCGGAAUUACUGGGCGUAAAGGGCGCGUAGGCGGUCUGUUAAGUUCGGUGUGAAAAUCCCCCUGGCUCAACUGGGGGAACUGCGCUGAAAAACUGGCGGACUCGAGUACCGGAGAGGAGAGUGGAAUUCCUGGUGUAGCGGUGAAAUGUGUUGAUAUUGGAAGGAACACCGGAGGCGAAAAGCGGUGUACUGGGGGCUGGGUCUGACGCUGAGGCACGAAAGCCAGGGGAGCGAACGGGG